AUGGUUAGCAUGAUAUGCAACAAAGCCGGUUUCGCAACAUGCAUCACGCUGCAAAGGGGUUUCACAACAUGGGUCGUGCUGGAAAGAGACUUCACAACAUGUGUCACACUGCAAAGGGGUUUCACAACAUGCGUCACACUGGAAAGGUGUUUCGGAACAUGCACCAUUUUGCAAGGAGACUUCACAACAUGUGUCACGCUAAAAAAGGGUUUCACAACAUGCGCCAUGUUCCAAAGGGGUUUCGCAACAUGCACCGUGUUGCAAGGAGACUUCACAACAUGCACCAUGUUUCAAAAAGGGAGCCAUGAUGGGAUGCUCGAUGGCUUCAUAACAUGUGGUGUGUUGCAAAGGGGCUUGACAACAUGUGUCGUCUUGCAAUCCUAUGAGCUCACAGACCCAUAUCUCCGCAACAAGGAUGAUGUUUUAGAACCAAGCCUCUGCAACAAUAUUUUAGAAACAUGCUUCUGCAACAACGUCAAUGUUUCAUAA
rnacentral:rRNA from 1 species